UGGAAACUGCAUUCCUGGUACAGAAACUAGUGGCUUGAUCAAUAAACUUAAUAUUGGAAUUGUGAAUUCUUAAAUUCCCAUGAAUCACAUACCAGGGUACAGCCAUCACCUCAGCAGAAGCUAAGAAACCCACCAUUUCUGUCAGGAAAAUCCCUCUCCCAACCACCCUCCCUUCUCUCACUUACCCCAUCCUUCUACACUCCUGCCAAAAAUUCUUCUUUCACAUCCAACCCCAAAUCUAACAUUCACCUCUCCCCUUCUUUCCCAUUCUCUAAUUGCAUCCUUUAACUCUUGUAUGUCCAACUCCUCCACAUUCAUUUUCCUUCUUCCAUUACUCUCACUUUCCAUUCUGCCUCCCUCAUCCUUCCCACUUGUAAAUGCUAUCUAAAUGCUAUCUGUCCUUCUUUAGAUACCACUUUGCCCUUUCUCCCUCCAAAUCAGCAUCCAGCCCCUGGAAGCACUCCCUGCCUAUUUUACCUUCUCCCUUUAAAUUUUUUCCUAAUUUUUUUCCUUCCCUUUUUUUUUUUUUUUUUUUUUU
rnacentral:lncRNA from 12 species